CCUACGAGAGGCAGCAGUGAGGAAUAUUGGUCCAUGGGCGCGAGCCUGAACCAGCCAAGUCGCGUGAGGGAAGACGGUCCUAUGGAUUGUAAACCUCUUUUGUCGGGGAGCAAAAGGCGCCACGCGUGGCGUUCCGAGAGUACCCGAAGCAAAAGCAUCGGCUAACUACGUGCCAGCAGCCGCGGUAAUACGGAGGAUGCGAGCGUUAUCCGGAUUGAUUGGGUUUAAAGGGUGCGUAGGUGGGUAAUUAAGUCAGCGGUGAAAGUUUGUGGCUCAACCAUGAAAUUGCCGUUGACACUGGUUGACUUGAGUAUAUUUGAGGAAGGCGGAAUGCGUGGUGUAGCGGUGAAAUGCAUAGAUAUCACGCGGAACUCCGAUUGCGAAGGCAGCUUACUAAACUAUAACUGACACUGAGGCACGAAAGCGUGGGGAUCAAACAGGAGUAGAUACCCUAGUAGUC
rnacentral:rRNA from 1 species